UACGUAGGGGGCUAGCGUUGUCCGGAUUUAUUGGGCGUAAAGAGCGUGUAGGCGGCCAUGUAGGUCCGGUGUGAAAACUCGAGGCUUAACCUCGAGAUGUCAUCGGAAACCAUUUGGCUAGAGGAUGGUAGAGGCGAGUGGAAUUCCCGGUGUAGCGGUGAAAUGCGCAGAUAUCGGGAGGAACACCAGUAGCGAAGGCGGCUCGCUGGGCCAUUCCUGACGCUGAGACGCGAAAGCUAGGGGAGCGAACAGG
rnacentral:rRNA from 1 species